GCAGGCGGUGCAGAGGUUAGCACUGUUGUCUUGCGACCGAAGGACUGGGUUCAAAUCCCUGCUCCUGCU
rnacentral:tRNA from 1 species